ensembl:lncRNA
GCCCCCCCCACCCUAAAGCUUCCCCCCCCACCUGAAAACCAACCCCCCCGGCCCUAUAGCGCCCCCAUCCCCCGCCAUCCCCUGCGCUGGGCCGUAUCCCCCCCCCCCCGCUGACCCCAAAUACCGGCCGUGCCUUGUCCCCACCCCCGGCCCCAUAUGGGCUGUGCCCUGUCCCGGUUCCGACCCCAUAAAGGCCGUGCCUUGUCCCGGUUCCGUCCCCCCACAUGGGCUGUGCUUUGUCCCGGUUCGGUCCCCAUAUCGUCCGUGCCCUGUCCCGGUUCCGACCCCAUAAAGGCCGUGCCUUGUCCCGGUUCCGUCCCUAUAUCGGCCAUGCCUUGCCCCGGUUCCGACCCCAAAUGGGCCGUGCCCUGUCCCGGUUCCGACCCCAUAAGGGCCGUGCUUGGUCCCGGUCCCAAAUGGGCCAUGCCUUGUCCCGGUUCUGCCCCUAUAUCGCCCGUGCCUUGUCCCGGUUCCGUCACCCCACAUGGGCUGUGCUUUGUCCCGGUUCGGUUCCCAUAUCGGCUGUGCCUUGGUCCGGUUCCGUCCCCCCAUAAAAGCCGUGCUUGGUCCCGGUUCCGACCCCACAAAGGCCGUGCCUUGUCCCGGUUCUGUCCCCAAAUGGGCCGUGCUUUGUCCCGGUUCCGACCCCAUAAAGGCCGUGCCUUGUCCCGGUUCUGUCCCCAAAUGGGCCGUGCCUUGUCCCGGUUCCGACCCCAUAAAGGCCGUGCUUGGUCCCGGUCCCGGUCCCAAAUGGACCAUGCCUUGUCCCGGUUCCGUCCCUAUAUCGCCCGUGCCUUGGCCCGGUUCCGUCCCCCCAUAAAGGCCGUGCUUGGUCCCGGUUCGGUCCCCGGUCCCGGUUCCGUCCCCAUAUCAGCCGUGCCCCCCCCAUGUCUGUACCCCCCCUUUCGGGCCGUGCCUUGGCCCGGUUCGGUCCCCAUACGGGCCACGUCUUGUCCCGGUUCCGACCCCCCAUAUGGGCCGUGCCUUGGCCCGGUUCCGUCCCAUAUCAGCCGUGCCCCCCCCCCCAUAAUGACAAGGUCCCGGUCCCGGUUCCGGUUGGGGUUUAUUGGGGGGGUCCCGUCCGGGCUGUUCGCUCCCGAACCCAAUAAAGAUCCUGACGGUACCGAACCGGACCGGACCGAGGGNNNNNNNNNNNNNNNNNNNNNNNNNUGGGGUGGGUAUGGGGUGGUUGUGGGGUAUGGGGUGGGUAUGGGGUGAUAGUGUUGUGGGGUAUGGGGUGGUAAUGGAGGGGUUGUGGGGUGGUUGUGGGGUAUGGGGUGAUAGUGCGGUCAUGGGGUGGUAAUGGGGUAUGAGGUGGGUAUGGGGUAUGGGGUGGUAAUGGGGUAAUGGAGGGGUUGUGGGGUAUGGGGUGGGUAUGGGGUGAUAGUGUUGUGGUUAUGGGGUGACUGUGGUUAUGGGAUGUGGGGUGAUAAUGGGGUAUUGGUGGUUCUUUGGGUAUGGGGUGGGUAUGGGGCGAUAUAGCGGUUAUGGGGCAGUAGUGUGGUUAUAGGGUGGCUAUGGGGCAACAGUGUGGUUAUAGAGAGAUAGUUUGGUUAUGGGGCACGGGGCGAUAGGGCAACAGUGUGGUUAUGGGGUGACUGUGGUUAUGGGGCCAUAGGGUGGUUAUAGGGCCAUGGUGUGGUUAUGGGGUGAUAAUGUGGUUAUGGGGUGAUGAUGGGUGAUAGAGUGAUAGCGCGGUUAUGGGGUGACAGUGUGGUUAUGGGGCCAUAGUGUGGUUAUGGGGUGACUGUGGUUAUGGGGCCAUAGGGUGGUUAUGGGGUGACUGUGGUUAUGGGGCCAUAGUGUGGUUAUGGGGUGACAGUGUGGUUGUGGGGUGAUUAUGGGCGAUAGGGCAAUAGGGCGGCUAUGGGGCAAUAGGGCGGUUAUGGGGCAAUAGUGCAGCUAUGGGGCAAUAGGGCGGUUAUGGGGCAAUAGGGCGGUUAUGGGGCAAUGGGGCGGUUAUGGGGCAAUAGGGCCCGGUCCCCGUAGGGCCCCACUCGCGUUGUGACAGUGGGAGGUUCCGUGGGGUGGAACCGGGUCAGCCCCGCGCUGCCACCCGCCCCAUCCGCUGCGUGACCCCGGGUUGGGCGACGGGACGGGACGGGUCGGGACACAACGGGACCGAACCGGUCGGGUCGGGUCGGGACUCGGUACGUCCCCAUUAGAACCAGCGCUGCCGAGUGGGAGGGGCCGCCAUUAAAGCCGCCGGGACCAGCCG